rnacentral:lncRNA from 1 species
UUUUGACACUUUGUAAAUUGUUGUUGAGUCCUUGCCAUUCUCUAAGUCUUCACUCCAUUAUAUAGAGGUGUGAAAGAGACGUUGUGAAUUGCCAACACAUCAAAAUAUAGUUGUUUGAAGCUUUGAUCAAUCAUCAAUGAUCUUUUGCCUGAUAUGGUUAUUGUCCUCCAAAGGAUCAAUUUCAAAUCCAUUCCAAUUGAGAGGGAACAUCGUUGCAGGUAAAGCUG